rnacentral:rRNA from 1 species
AUGGCAUCUGAAAACUUGUUCAGCUGGCUGAAGGAUGACGUACUGCGGAGGCCUACAUACUCUCGCUUUUGUGCACUUCUUGACAACUACAACCCACGCCAAGGAUACAAGGAAUUAGUCACCCAGCAGGACAAGAAUGAAGAAGCUGCUUUUAUUGAGGAGAUUGCUAGAAGUGCACCAAUCAAAUUCUUACACCGGUAUCUGGUGCUGAAGGGAAUCACGUCUCAGGACCAGAAGGACUUCACGAAAAUGCUGGCAUCCCUGUGGUUUGAUUUGUAUGGAAGGGGUGGAUGCUCUGGUAGCUCUUCUGCCUUUGAGCAUGUCUUUGUAGGAGAGAUCAAGGGGCGGUGUCGAGGUGAGCAUGAGGUCACAGACUUCCACAACUGGACUCAGUUUUACCUGGAAGAAUCCAAAGGCAAUGUGGAUUACCAAGGGUACAUAUUUCCAAAGAAAUACGGGGACCAUCCAGACUCUCAGACGCAGCUGCUCACCAUUCAGUUUGAGUGGCAUGGCUUGCUGAAAUCUGUAUCCAGCACAUUGAUUGGCGUCAGUCCUGAGUUUGAGAUUGCGCUCUACACGCGCUGCUUCUUUGCUGGAGAGGAUAAUAACCAUGUCCAUGUGGGUCCAUAUGCGAUCAACAUCAAGUGCUACAGGAUGGGGGUUAACAAGAUCGGAUCAGCUUUCCCUGUCGCAGAACAUUGA